GACGAACGCUGGCGGCGUGCUUAACACAUGCAAGUCGAACGAUGAAGAAGAGAAACGCGAACUUCGGUUCAAAUUUCUCUUCGGAUUAGUGGCAGACGGGUGAGUAACGCGUGAGCAACCUACCUCUUACAAAGGGAUAGCCUCGGGAAACCGUGAUUAAUACCAUAUGACACAUUCAUAAGGCAUCUAAAGAAUGUUAAAGCUACGGCGGUAAGAGAUGGGCUCGUGUCCCAUUAGCUAGUUGGUGAGGUAACGGCCCACCAAGGCGACGAUGGGUAACCGGCCUGAGAGGGUGAACGGUCACAUUGGAACUGAGACACGGUCCAAACUCCUACGGGAGGCAGCAGUGGGGAAUAUUGCACAAUGGAGGGAACUCUGAUGCAGCGACGCCGCGUGAGCGAUGAAGGAAUUCGUUUCGUAAAGCUCUGUUCUAUGGGAAGAAAAGGACUGUACCAUAGGAGAAAGCCCCGGCUAAAUACGUG
rnacentral:rRNA from 1 species